CCUACGGGAGGCAGCAGUGAGGAAUAUUGGUCAAUGGGCUUACGCCUGAACCAGCCAAGUCGCGUGAGGGAAGACUGCCCUAUGGGUUGUAAACCUCUUUUGUCAGGGAGCAACGCCGGCUACGUGUAGCCGGACUGAGAGUACCUGAAGAAAAAGCAUCGGCUAACUCCGUGCCAGCAGCCCCGGUAAUACGGAGGAUGCGAGCGUUUUCCGGAUUUAUUGGGUUUAAAGGGUGCGUAGGCGGAAUGCCAAGUCAGCGGUAAAAUCGCGGGGCUCAACCUCGCUCCGCCGUUGAAACUGGCGGUCUUGAGUGGGCGAGAAGUAUGCGGAAUGCGUGGUGUAGCGGUGAAAUGCAUAGAUAUCACGCAGAACUCCGAUUGCGAAGGCAGCAUACCGGCGCCCAACUGACGCUGAAGCACGAAAGCGUGGGUAUCGAACAGGAUUAGAUACCCCUGUAGUC
rnacentral:rRNA from 1 species